CAGUGGCAGUGGCAGUGGGCUACUACCGAUUGAAUGGUUUAGUGAGGACUCCUGAUUGGCGCCGCCGCCCCGGCAACGGAGCAGCGGACUGCCGAAAAGUUGUUCAAACUUGAUCAUUUAGAGGAAGUAAAAGUCGUAACAAGGUUUCCGUAGGUGAACCUGCAGAAGGAGACCGGAAGAGCGUCGUGUACGGGAAGAGAGUAGGUCUCUGUGGUAGCCGGAUCAUUA
rnacentral:misc_RNA from 1 species